rnacentral:piRNA from 1 species
UGCUUCUCGCUGCCAACACGGGCCC